rnacentral:rRNA from 1 species
AGUGAACGCUGGCGGUAGGCCUAACACAUGCAAGUCGAACGGCAGCACAGUAAGAGCUUGCUCUUACGGGUGGCGAGUGGCGGACGGGUGAGGAAUACAUCGGAAUCUACUUUUUCGUGGGGGAUAACGUAGGGAAACUUACGCUAAUACCGCAUACGACCUACGGUUGAAAGCAGGGGAUCUUCGGACCUUGCGCGAUUGAAUGAGCCGAUGUCGGUUUAGCUAGUUGGCGGGGUAAAGGCCCACCAAGGCGACGAUCCGUAGCUGGUCUGAGAGGAUGAUCAGCCACACUGGAACUGAGACACGGUCCAGACUCCUACGGGAGGCAGCAGUGGGGAAUAUUGGACAAUGGGCGCAAGCCUGAUCCAGCCAUACCGCGUGGGUGAAGAAGGCCUUCGGGUUGUAAAGCCCUUUUGUUGGGAAAGAAAAGCAGCAGGUUAAUACCCAGCUGUUCUGACGGUACCCAAAGAAUAAGCACCGGCUAACUUCGUG